AAAUUGAAGAGUUUGAUCAUGGCUCAGAUUGAACGCUGGCGGCAGGCCUAACACAUGCAAGUCGAACGGUAACAGGAAGAAGCUUGCUUCUUUGCUGACGAGUGGCGGACGGGUGAGUAAUGUCUGGGAAACUGCCUGAUGGAGGGGGAUAACUACUGGAAACGGUAGCUAAUACCGCAUAACGUCGCAAGACCAAAGAGGGGGACCUUCGGGCCUCUUGCCAUCGGAUGUGCCCAGAUGGGAUUAGCUAGUAGGUGGGGUAACGGCUCACCUAGGCGACGAUCCCUAGCUGGUCUGAGAGGAUGACCAGCCACACUGGAACUGAGACACGGUCCAGACUCCUACGGGAGGCAGCAGUGGGGAAUAUUGCACAAUGGGCGCAAGCCUGAUGCAGCCAUGCCGCGUGUAUGAAGAAGGCCUUCGGGUUGUAAAGUACUUUCAGCGGGGAGGAAGGGAGUAAAGUUAAUACCUUUGCUCAUUGACGUUACCCGCAGAAGAAGCACCGGCUAACUCCGUGCCAGCAGCCGCGGUAAUACGGAGGGUGCAAGCGUUAAUCGGAAUUACUGGGCGUAAAGCGCACGCAGGCGGUUUGUUAAGUCAGAUGUGAAA
rnacentral:rRNA from 2 species